ensembl:lncRNA
CGGCUUGGGACUGCCUGGCGGGGCGGGGCCGAGCGGGGCGGGACGGGAUGCUGGCUCCACUCUAGGCCGCUGGCCGCCAGUCGCCUUGCGCUCUGUGGCGCCUAGACAUUGCCUCCAGUAAUCUGGCGGUAGAGGGGAACUCGUCAGCGCUGCGAGGGGGGUGAAAGUUCAGACCCUGGGCUGGGUGACGUCAGCGAGGGGGCGGGGCGCCUCGGUGCUUCUCGGCGGAGGGGAAAGUCCGGGCUGUUUCAGUUGAGCCAAGGAAUGGGAGGCGCCCUAGCCUGCCCGCAGGCCACAGCGCUUGGAAUCCUGCCUUCCCUGCUAUCUCCCUGAGGCAAGGGGUUGGAGGAGUGUUUCUCAAUGAGUCUCCACCUUACUUAUUGAGACACAGUGUGUCACUGAACCUGGAGCUCACUGACUCAACUUGACUGGGUAGCCAACAAACCCUAGGGACCCUGCUAUCCCUCAGCUUCUCCAGGAUUGUGAUUCCAUGCAUGUAUCACCGUGCCCAGGACGUUCUGACAAAUGCUCUAGCAUUAAGCCAAGUGAAAUCAGCCAGUGACAAAAAUACAAAUGUUCUGAUCACACUUAACUAAGCUUCCUGUGUCUCUCAGCUUCCCCGAGAGACACUUCUCCUUGGUACCAGCUGUGCCUUCCCUGGGUGUGCAGCUGAGUUGUUUGCAGUUAACGAGCUUCAGAAAAUGUCAGCAUGAGGAAGCUGGAACAUGUGUGCCCGGGAGGAAGAGGGAAGCAUGGCUGAGACCCUCUUGGAACAUCUGAUCCUCUUGCCUCCACAGUGCUGGGGUUAGAUGUAGGCCUCUGCCUGGUGUAGUUUUAUGGGGAUUCUUGGGACGGAAUGUGGGGCUUUGUGUGUGCUACCGAGCUAUAGGUACAACCCAAACUCUGCCUUCUAAAUAAGCGUAAGUGAAUUAGGGCCACCAUUAUUCAUUGGAACAUUUUUGUUGGAAAUAAACGCUUCUGCUUUCCUUUGAUAGUGUUAGGAAGACAAAAAUGCCAUUUUUAACUUUUAUUGUUUGUUUUUUUUUUUUUUUGAGACAGUGGUUUACUUCUCUGAACUCAGAGAUCCACUUGUCUUUGCUUCCCAAGUGCUGGGAUUAAAGGCAAGGCCAUCUUUUAAUCUUUCAGUGCCUUUAAUAUUUAAAAUGGGCUUCUUAGACAACAAAUAGUAAGCCUUUUCUUUUGAUCACCUCUGACUAGCUUGCUCCGGCUCUUUCUCCCGGUUCUCGUUCCAGUUCCCACCCCAUUACCUAGCUUGCUUGAUCUCUUUUUUUGUGCUGGAGAUGCCGCACAGGGUACCAUACAUUGUAAGCCUUGGUUCUAUCACUAUGCUACAGGCCUAGUUCUGCUGUCUUUUAAUUGGUGUAUUUGGACUACUGAUGCUUCUAGUACUAUCAAUAUAGCUGUAUUUCUGUCUCCCAUGUUUGUUAUUCCUUUCUGUUCUUUGACCUUGUUCUUUGAUCUCUUUCAUUCUUUUCCUACCCUUCCUGGUGUUAAUUGAGCAUUUUAUAAGGUUCCAUUUUCUCUUCUUUUUUUUUUCCGGAGCUGAGGACCGAACCCAGAGCCUUGCGCCUGCUAGGCAAGCGCUCUACCACUGAGCUAAAUCCCCAACCCCUUUUCUCUUCUUUCUUAGCAUGUCAAUUAUACUUAAAAAGAAUAAACACCUAAAGAAGAGCUCAUGAGCUCCACUUCAGCCACUUCAGUUGAGACGCUAUUGGCG